GUUGACUGUGUUCCCUCCUUCCAGAUCCAAUCGAAUACCCUUGAGAUGGUGGACCUUGUUGUCCCUUUUCUCAUUCUUCAGGUGUGGAUUUUCCGCCCAAGUUUUGGCUCGUGUUGAACUCAAUGUCUUUUCAAAGAAUUUAAUUUUGUUAACUCUUUCCUUUCUAGAUUUCUCUGCCAUAUUAUCCUGCAACUAUAUUUUUGUAUUUUAAUUUCUUCUUCAUAAGCAGUUAGUUCGAUUAUGUUGGGCGCCAUAAAUAUAUACCAACCCUCCCAUUGAAAGACAGGGUGGUUAUAUUUAAAAUGAUUUUGUGGUGUUUUAUUUUAUAAUUAAUUUUUGUUCGUGAAAUAUUAAAAGAAAAUUUGAAACUAAAAUUAUAAGUGACCCAUGAAAUAUUGAACAUUGUUUUUUCACCUUUGAAACGAAUCGAUUCUUCUAAAGAGCUCUCGCGAGUAAAAAUUCCUCAAAAAUUGUGAAAAAGACUUUAAAAACAUAAAAAACUAUUAAAAUAAGUGAAUUAGUGAAAGACGUGAUACAUGCAAUUAGUGGUGAGUCUACAUUUUUAUUACAAUUUUUAUAAAUAAUUAAGUUUUUAAUCUUUGUGUUUGUAUAAUUUAUUAUACACAUAAUUUGUUAUUUUUGCAAUCGGAGGUUAGAGAUAUCUCAUAUGACUUACGUAUAACGUGUCAUAAGACAUGUUAAUAAGUAUGUUUUAUGGAUUUUAUCAAUUUUAUGCAAAAAUUUAUGUUUUAGAGAUGAAAUUCUAUUUUCUUGACCUUUAUAUAAGACUUUUUGAUGCAUUUAUAUAGUUUUUCUCCUUUUUCUGAAAGAAAAUUUGGAAAAAUAAAAAUUAUGUGCAAAAUUGGUGUUUCCGCAAAAUUUCGGCACGGCGCUAGUGUUUGUGAAAAAAAGUGCAAAAAAGGUGAAACGCUGAUUCUGUGAAGGCCCUAUGGAUAUAAUGUGCGCGGCCGUAAAAUAUUAAAACAAAAAAAAAAUCACAAUUUUUUGUGGAAAUUGGCAAUGUAAGUAUGUUUUUCUUUUUUUAUCUUGUAUAUAAUAAGAUGAUUGUGUGAUGGAAGAUAAACUGAUAAGAGAAGAAGCCAGAAUCGACCACUGAUGCCAGUUGUGAAGGAAGCAACAACGGUGAAGGUGCAAACAGGUGUCUUUCACUGUGUUAUCACGAGAAUGGCAACAACAAUUGAAGAGAACCAUCGUGUGAGGGAUGUCAACAUUCGAUGUGACCUUGCGGAACAGAACUUCGGCAUGACAAAGUUGCAGGACAUCUAGAGGAAGGAGCAACGCGGUGGUAUUAAAGAUGCCAUUGCAGGGCUGCGGGAACUCAAGGAGGAUGAGAAGAAGGAAUUAACGGAUCUCCUUGAUUGUCAUUUCUGAUCCGGAGAAGCAGCCAAUUAAGUUAGUGUCCCGGAAGACAAACAAGAGACGCUUCCAGAGCAGAUAAACUUUGAGGAUUUCACGGUGAUGCGUAAUGCCGUACGUGAAUCUCAAUCCGUCAGUAAGGUGAAAAGGGAAGGUCAAGAGCAGAAGCCGGAGCAACAGAAGCAGCAAGUUGAGGAAGGUGGUGAACCCAAUAAGGUGGAGAAAGCUGCUCAGGAGACAGUUGAAACGCCUUCGAUGCCUGAGACGCAGGAAGAGAAGAAGCCAGAAUCGACCACUGAUGCCAGUUGUGAAGGAAGCAACAACGGUGAAGGUGCAAACAGGUGUCUUUCACUGUGUUAUCACGAGAAUGACAACGACAAUUGAAGAGAACCUCCAGGAAGACAAUUUUCUAUACCAUCGUGUUAGGGAUGUCAACAUUCAAAAGCUGCCCAGGUGCUUCCAUGUUUGUCUUCAAGUUACCAAAUGGUGAGAAUAUUCUCCACACAGGAGAUUUUCGGGCAACCUACUUAAUGGAAAUGUUUCCAAUUCUGUGGAACAAUUACAUUGACAUUAUCUACCUCGAUACAACGUAAGUUAAAAGAAUUUUAAUUAUUAUUAUUAUUUUAAAUGCAACCCAUCCAAAAAUUAACAUAAAAUCAACUAUAAAAUGAGCAUGAUCAGAAAUACUGCAAAUUAUCUAUAUAGCAUAUUUCCUGAAAUGAUUGUUUGUGGAAACGGCAGGGCCGAUGGUGAUAAAAUGGAGAUAGAGGGCCUCAAUAUGGAUCUACCUGCUGAAGGUUCAGAUAAAGGGUUUUUUUUAAUAUUAAAAAUAUUUCAGGGUACUGUAUUAUUCAGCCCCCCUCCCUCUCCCGACUAAUAUCACAUAUUAUAGAUUUAAAUGGAAUUUGCUCACACGGGUUUGGGGGCUCAGGUUUGUUUUUUAUGCACAUCUACCUAUAUAAUAAAGAAAGGUAAUCGUAUCUAUACAGUUCCUUAUAUCAGGUGGUUUCCAGUGGCCGUAUCCAUUUUCCCCCCAAAGCCCCCCUUCAGGUAGCCCCCAUAUAAGGUUCAUGCAUUUUUUUGCGAAUUUUUGGGAUUUUAUAAGUGACUCUUUUGGGAUUUAUAAGUGGCUCUAAUCUACUUAUAAACCAUCAUAUUUUUUUUCACUAAAAUUUGCGUUGAGCGCAACAAAUCCCCGCGAAGCGGGGUGGGGAAAAUUAGAGCGAAGCGACAAUUUACCUCAUCAUAAUAUAAUUUUUAUAUGCUACUGCAACUCAUGGUUAUAACGAGUGAUUUUAAAAGCUUUUUUGCAACCCUUUUUUUUAAUCCUUUGAAACAAAACUUAGGUAUAAAAUGAUUAAUUUUAAAACUUUUUGCAGAUAUUUAUCAUCUCAAACAAUCUUGCCCAGUCAGGAUGAAAAUAUUGAUAUGGCUAUAGAGGAGCCUUCUUUCUUCUAUUUUCUUACGAAAAAAUGCUAAUUUUUGCAAUCGGAGGUUAGAGAUAUCUCAUAUGCCUACAUAUAACGUGUCAUAAGACUUUUGUAUAUCAUGUCUUACGUAUGUUUUAUGGAUUUUAUCAAAUUUAUGCAAAAAAUUAUGUUUUAGAGAUUAACUUUUUAACCCUGAAUUUGUGUUGGUUAGUAGAAAAUUAUUUUUCUGAGCUACCCUGUGAUUCAUUUGCGGGAAUAAUUAUUCAUUCCUCAGUAAAAAAUCUGCGAUUCCCAGAAAUUAUUUGGCUCAAUUUUUGUCAAUUAUGGGAAUUCGCAGAGUAUUUUUUUUCUUCACCGUUAUUUUUUUUAUAAUAGCUUUUGCUACUUUCAAUUUUUUUUUCAAAUCUUUUAUUUGCACUUUGAAAGAUUUUUUUUCUUUUCCGCGUUUUCUUUUUUUUAUUAGAAGAGAGAUGGGUUUUGUAUUUUAUUCCGAAUCUUUAUAAUUUUGCGGAACGACGAAUGGAAAGCAUUCUGUGGCAAAUGUUUUCCCCCCAAAACCUCUAGUUUUUCUUGCAUAACCAGGAUGAAUGAAAAGGUCAAAACGAAUGUUAUCGACAGGCCUUUUCCCUGGGAAAUGCAUCAGAAAUUAAUAAUAUUUUGCAAUUUUCUUUCUUUUUUUUAUUAUAAUUUUUUCCUUAAUUAUUGGUGAUAUUUUCUGACAUUUUGUGCUCGUAUGUGUGGUUUAAUUCAGCCCCUUCACUCACACCUUAUCUACCCUUUAAGCCUUUUAAGUGCUGCCAAUUUACGUUCAUUUUCUUUCUGAUUAAAUUUUAAUUUAUCUCAAAUCACAAUCUAUUUUCUUUAUUUUUUUUUCCUCAAUAUGUUCCUGAUUCUUGAUCUUGCCUUUUAUGCAAUUGAUCGUUCAGGUACUAUCGCUUUAAUUUAUUUUUGCAAGGAUAUCUGAUAGGAAGAGUUUUGCAUUCUCUUUAAAUUCCAUCUGCUUAAUGGUAGUUACUGAUAUCCUUGGUAAGCUUUUCUUUGUAUAGCACGAGACCUCUCGCGUCCAUUGCGACUUUAUUAUGGUUCUUUAGUAACCCCCCCGCGGGAAGAUCAGCUUUGUCUGAUUUUUCGGUGAAAAUUCUUUUCUUUAUAAAGAUUUUCCGGGAAAUUAUCGGGAUUCGUCCUGAAGUUUCACUGUGGUUCUUGGAACGAGAUGUUGACUGUGUUCCCUCCUUCCAGAUCCAAUCGAAUACCCUUGAGAUGGUGGACCUUGUUGUCCCUUUUCUCAUUCUUCAGGUGUGGAUUUUCCGCCCAAGUUUUGGCUCGUGUUGAACUCAAUGUCUUUUCAAAGAAUUUAAUUUUGUUAACUCUUUCCUUUCUAGAUUUCUCUGCCAUAUUAUCCUGCAACUAUAUUUUUGUAUUUUAAUUUCUUCUUCAUAAGCAGUUAGUUCGAUUAUGUUGGGUGCCAUAAAUAUAUACCAACCCUCCCAUUGAAAGACAGGGUGGUUAUAUUUAAAAUGAUUUUGUGGUGUUUUAUUUUAUAAUUAAUUUUUGUUCGUGAAAUAUUAAAAGAAAAUUUGAAACUAAAAUUAUAAGUGACCCAUGAAAUAUUGAACAUUGUUUUUUCACCUUUGAAACGAAUCGAUUCUUCUAAAGAGCUCUCGCGAGUAAAAAUUCCUCAAAAAUUGUGAAAAAGACUUUAAAAACAUAAAAAACUAUUAAAAUAAGUGAAUUAGUGAAAGACGUGAUACAUGCAAUUAGUGGUGAGUCUACAUUUUUAUUACAAUUUUUAUAAAUAAUUAAGUUUUUAAUCUUUGUGUUUGUAUAAUUUAUUAUACACAUAAUUUGUUAUUUUUGCAAUCGGAGGUUAGAGAUAUCUCAUAUGACUUACGUAUAACGUGUCAUAAGACAUGUUAAUAAGUAUGUUUUAUGGAUUUUAUCAAUUUUAUGCAAAAAUUUAUGUUUUAGAGAUGAAAUUCUAUUUUCUUGACCUUUAUAUAAGACUUUUUGAUGCAUUUAUAUAGUUUUUCUCCUUUUUCUGAAAGAAAAUUUGGAAAAAUAAAAAUUAUGUGCAAAAUUGGUGUUUCCGCAAAAUUUCGGCACGGCGCUAGUGUUUGUGAAAAAAAGUGCAAAAAAGGUGAAACGCUGAUUCUGUGAAGGCCAUAUGGAUAUAAUGUGCGCGGCCGUAAAAUAUUAAAACAAAAAAAAAUCACAAUUUUUUGUGGAAAUUGGCAAUAAGCCAGAAUCGACCACUGAUGCCAGUUGUGAAGGAAGCAACAACGGUGAAGGUGCAAACAGGUGUCUUUCACUGUGUUAUCACGAGAAUGGCAACAACAAUUGAAGAGAACCAUCGUGUGAGGGAUGUCAACAUUCGAUGUGACCUUGCGGAACAGAACUUCGGCAUGACAAAGUUGCAGGACAUCUAGAGGAAGGAGCAACGCGGUGGUAUUAAAGAUGCCAUUGCAGGGCUGCGGGAACUCAAGGAGGAUGACCAGAAGGAAUUAACGGAUCUCCUUGAUUGUCAUUUCUGAUCCGGAGAAGCAGCCAAUUAAGUUAGUGUCCCGGAAGACAAACAAGAGACGCUUCCAGAGCAGAUAAACUUUGAGGAUUUCACAGUGAUGCGUAAUGCCGUACGUGAAUCUCAAUCCGUCAGUAAGGUGAAAAGGGAAGGUCAAGAGCAGAAGCCGGAGCAACAGAAGCAGCAAGUUGAGGAAGGUGGUGAACCCAAUAAGGUGGAGAAAGCUGCUCAGGAGACAGUUGAAACGCCUUCGAUGCCGGAGACGCAGGAAGAGAAGAUGCCAUUGCAGGGCUGCGGGAACUCAAGGAGGAUGACAAGAAGGAGUUAAUCGCUGCGUACACAUCCGCAGGGUGACGCGUAAUGCUGUACGAGAAUCUCAAUCCGACAGUAAGGUGAAAAGGGAAGGUCAAGGGCAGAAGCCGGAGCAACAGAAGCAGCAAGUUGAGGAAGGUGGUGAACCCAAUAAGGUGGAGAAAGCUGCUCAGGAGACAGUUGAAACGCCUUCGAUGCCGGAGACGCAGGAAGAGAAGAUGCCAUUGCAGGGCUGCGGGAACUCAAGGAGGAUGACAAGAAGGAGUUAAUCGCUGCGUACACAUCCGCAGGGUGACGCGUAAUGCUGUACGAGAAUCUCAAUCCGACAGUAAGGUGAAAAGGGAAGGUCAAGGGCAGAAGCCGGAGCAACAGAAGCAGCAAGUUGAGGAAGGUGGUGAACCCAAUAAGGUGGAGAAAGCUGCUCAGGAGACAGUUGAAACGCCUUCGAUGCCGGAGACGCAGGAAGAGAAGAUGCCAUUGCAGGGCUGCGGGAACUCAAGGAGGAUGACAAGAAGGAGUUAAUCGCUGCGUACACAUCCGCAGGGUGACGCGUAAUGCUGUACGAGAAUCUCAAUCCGACAGUAAGGUGAAAAGGGAAGGUCAAGGGCAGAAGCCGGAGCAACAGAAGCAGCAAGUUGAGGAAGGUGGUGAACCCAAUAAGGUGGAGAAAGCUGCUCAGGAGACAGUUGAAACGCCUUCGAUGCCGGAGACGCAGGAAGAGAAGAUGCCAGAAUCGACCACAGAUGCCAGUUGUGAAGAAAGCAACAACGGUGAAGGUGCAAACAGGUAUCUUUCACUGUGUUAUCACGAGAAUGGCAACGACAAUUGAAGAGAACCUCCAGGAAGACAAUUUUCUAUACCAUCGUGUGAGGGAUGUCAACAUUCGAUGUGACCUUGCGGAACAGAAUUUCGGCAUGACAAAGUUGCAGGACAUCUAGAGGAAGGAGCAACGCGAUGGUAUUAAAGAUGUCAUUGCAGGGCAGCGGAAACUCAAGGAGGAUGACAAGAAGGAAUUAACGGAUCUCCUUGAUUGUCAUUUCUGAUCCGGAGAAGCAGCCAAUUAAGUAAGUGUCCCGGAAGACAAACAAGAGACGCUUCCAGAGCAGAUAAACUUUGAGGAUUUCACGGUGACGCGUAAUGCUGUACGAAAAUCUCAAUCCGUCAGUAAGGUGAAAAAGGAAGGUCAAGGGCAGAAGACGGAGCAACAGAAGCAGCAAAUUGAGGAAGGUGGUGAACCCAAUAAGGUGGAGAAAGCUGCUCAGGAGACAGUUAAAACGCCUUCUAUGCCGGAGACGCAGGAAGAGAAGAAGCCAGAAUCGACCACAGAUGCCAGUUAUGAAGAACGCAACAACGGUGAAGGUGCAAACAGGUGUCUUUCACUGUAUUAUCACGAGAAUGGCAACGACAAUUGAAGAGAACCUCCAGGAAGACAAUUUUCUAUACCAUCGUGUGAGGGAUGUCAACAUUCGAUGUGACCUUGCGCAACAGAAUUUCGGCAUGACAAAGUUGCAGGACAUCUAGAGGAAGGAGCAACGCGAUGGUAUUAAAGAUGCCAUUGCAGGGCAGCGGAAACUCAAGGAGGAUGACAAGAAGGAAUUAACGGAUCUCCUUGAUUGUCAUUUCUGAUCCGGAGAAGCAGCCAAUUAAGUCAGUGUCCCGGAAGACAAACAAGAGACGCUUCCAGAGCAGAUAAACUUUGAGGAUUUCACGGUGACGCGUAAUGCUGUACGAAAAUCUCAAUCCGUCAGUAAGGUGAAAAAAGAAGGUCAAGAGCAGAAGUCGAAGCAACAGAAGCAGCAAGUUGAGGAAGGUGGUGAACCCAAUAAGGUGGAGAAAGCUGCUCAGGAGACAGUUGUAACGCCUUCGAUGCCUGAGACGCCUGAGACAAACGAGAGACGCUUCCAGAGCAGAUGAGGAUUUGAGGAUUUCACGGUGAUGCGUAAUGCCGUACGUGAAUCUCAAUCCGACAGUAAGGUGAAAAGGGAAGGUCAAGGGCAGAAGCCGGAGCAACAGAAGCAGCAAGUUGAGGAAGGUGGUGAACCCAAUAAGGUGGAGAAAGCUGCUCAGGAGACAGUUGAAACGCCUUCGAUGCCAGAGACGCAGGAAGAGAAGAAGCCAGAAUCGACCACAGAUGCCAGUUGUGAAGAAAGCAACAACGGUGCACCGUGUGCGUGAAUAGAUGCAUGAAUUUUCACGUCGGUACCACCACGUGAAAGGGUGACGCGUAAUGCUGUACGUGAAUCUCAAUCCGACAGUAAGGUGAAAAAAGAAGGUCAAAAGCAGAAGUCGAAGCAACAGAAGCAGCAAGUUGAGGAAGGUGGUGAACCCAAUAAGGUGGAGAAAGCUGCUCAGGAGACAGUUGAAACGCCUUCUAUGACGCAGGAAGAGAAGAAGCCAGAAUCGACCACAGAUGCCAGUUGUGAAGAAAGCAACAACAGUGCACCGUGUGCGUGAAUAGAUGCAUGAAUUUUCACGUCGGUACCACCACGUGAAAGGGUGACGCGUAAUGCUGUACGAGAAUCUCAAUCCGUCAGUAAGGUGAAAAGGGAAGGUCAAGAGCAGAAGCCGGAGCAACAGAAGCAGCAAGUUGAGGAAGGUGGUGAACCCAAUAAGGUGGAGAAAGCUGCUCAGGAGACAGUUGAAACGCCUUCUAUGCCGGAGACGCAGGAAGAGAAGAAGCCAGAAUCGACCACAGAUGCCAGUUGUGAAGAAAGCAACAACGGUGCACCGUGUGCGUGAAUAGAUGCAUGAAUUUUCACGUCGGUACCACCACGUGAAAGGUGACGCGUAAUGCUGUACGAGAAUCUCAAUCCGUCAGUAAGGUGAAAAAAGAAGGUCAAGAGCAGAAGUCGAAGCAACAGAAGCAGCAAGUUGAGGAAGGUGGUGAACCCAAUAAGGUGGAGAAAGCUGCUCAGGAGACAGUUGAAACGCCUUCGAUGCCUGAGACGCAGGAAGAGAAGAAGCCAGAAUCGACCACAGAUGCCAGUUGUGAAGAAAGCAACAACAGUGCACCGUGUGCGUGAAUAGAUGCAUGAAUUUUCACGUCGGUACCACCACGUGAAAGGUGACGCGUAAUGCUGUACGAGAAUCUCAAUCCGUCAGUAAGGUGAAAAAAGAAGGUCAAGAGCAGAAGUCGAAGCAACAGAAGCAGCAAGUUGAGGAAGGUGGUGAACCCAAUAAGGUGGAGAAAGCUGCUCAGGAGACAGUUGUAACGCCUUCGAUGCCUGAGACGCCUGAGACAAACGAGAGACGCUUCCAGAGCAGAUGAGGAUUUGAGGAUUUCACGGUGAUGCGUAAUGCCGUACGUGAAUCUCAAUCCGACAGUAAGGUGAAAAGGGAAGGUCAAGGGCAGAAGCCGGAGCAACAGAAGCAGCAAGUUGAGGAAGGUGGUGAACCCAAUAAGGUAGAGAAAGCUGCUCAGGAGACAGUUGAAACGCCUUCGAUGCCUGAGACGCCUGAGACAAACGAGAGACGCUUCCAGAGCAGAUGAGGAUUUGAGGAUUUCACGGUGAUGCGUAAUGCCGUACGUGAAUCUCAAUCCGACAGUAAGGUGAAAAGGGAAGGUCAAGGGCAGAAGCCGGAGCAACAGAAGCAGCAAGUUGAGGAAGGUGGUGAACCCAAUAAGGUGGAGAAAGCUGCUCAGGAGACAGUUGAAACGCCUUCGAUGCCAGAGACGCAGGAAGAGAAGAAGCCAGAAUCGACCACAGAUGCCAGUUGUGAAGAAAGCAACAACGGUGCACCGUGUGCGUGAAUAGAUGCAUGAAUUUUCACGUCGGUACCACCACGUGAAAGGGUGACGCGUAAUGCUGUACGUGAAUCUCAAUCCGACAGUAAGGUGAAAAAAGAAGGUCAAAAGCAGAAGUCGAAGCAACAGAAGCAGCAAGUUGAGGAAGGUGGUGAACCCAAUAAGGUGGAGAAAGCUGCUCAGGAGACAGUUGAAACGCCUUCUAUGACGCAGGAAGAGAAGAAGCCAGAAUCGACCACAGAUGCCAGUUGUGAAGAAAGCAACAACAGUGCACCGUGUGCGUGAAUAGAUGCAUGAAUUUUCACGUCGGUACCACCACGUGAAAGGGUGACGCGUAAUGCUGUACGAGAAUCUCAAUCCGUCAGUAAGGUGAAAAGGGAAGGUCAAGAGCAGAAGCCGGAGCAACAGAAGCAGCAAGUUGAGGAAGGUGGUGAACCCAAUAAGGUGGAGAAAGCUGCUCAGGAGACAGUUGAAACGCCUUCUAUGCCGGAGACGCAGGAAGAGAAGAAGCCAGAAUCGACCACAGAUGCCAGUUGUGAAGAAAGCAACAACGGUGCACCGUGUGCGUGAAUAGAUGCAUGAAUUUUCACGUCGGUACCACCACGUGAAAGGUGACGCGUAAUGCUGUACGAGAAUCUCAAUCCGUCAGUAAGGUGAAAAAAGAAGGUCAAGAGCAGAAGUCGAAGCAACAGAAGCAGCAAGUUGAGGAAGGUGGUGAACCCAAUAAGGUGGAGAAAGCUGCUCAGGAGACAGUUGAAACGCCUUCGAUGCCUGAGACGCAGGAAGAGAAGAAGCCAGAAUCGACCACAGAUGCCAGUUGUGAAGAAAGCAACAACAGUGCACCGUGUGCGUGAAUAGAUGCAUGAAUUUUCACGUCGGUACCACCACGUGAAAGGUGACGCGUAAUGCUGUACGAGAAUCUCAAUCCGUCAGUAAGGUGAAAAAAGAAGGUCAAGAGCAGAAGUCGAAGCAACAGAAGCAGCAAGUUGAGGAAGGUGGUGAACCCAAUAAGGUGGAGAAAGCUGCUCAGGAGACAGUUGUAACGCCUUCGAUGCCUGAGACGCCUGAGACAAACGAGAGACGCUUCCAGAGCAGAUGAGGAUUUGAGGAUUUCACGGUGAUGCGUAAUGCCGUACGUGAAUCUCAAUCCGACAGUAAGGUGAAAAGGGAAGGUCAAGGGCAGAAGCCGGAGCAACAGAAGCAGCAAGUUGAGGAAGGUGGUGAACCCAAUAAGGUAGAGAAAGCUGCUCAGGAGACAGUUGAAACGCCUUCGAUGCCUGAGACGCCUGAGACAAACGAGAGACGCUUCCAGAGCAGAUGAGGAUUUGAGGAUUUCACGGUGAUGCGUAAUGCCGUACGUGAAUCUCAAUCCGACAGUAAGGUGAAAAGGGAAGGUCAAGGGCAGAAGCCGGAGCAACAGAAGCAGCAAGUUGAGGAAGGUGGUGAACCCAAUAAGGUGGAGAAAGCUGCUCAGGAGACAGUUGAAACGCCUUCGAUGCCAGAGACGCAGGAAGAGAAGAAGCCAGAAUCGACCACAGAUGCCAGUUGUGAAGAAAGCAACAACGGUGCACCGUGUGCGUGAAUAGAUGCAUGAAUUUUCACGUCGGUACCACCACGUGAAAGGGUGAUGCGUAAUGCCGUACGUGAAUCUCAAUCCGACAGUAAGGUGAAAAAAGAAGGUCAAAAGCAGAAGUCGAAGCAACAGAAGCAGCAAGUUGAGGAAGGUGGUGAACCCAAUAAGGUGGAGAAAGCUGCUCAGGAGACAGUUGAAACGCCUUCUAUGCCGGAGACGCAGGAAGAGAAGAAGCCAGAAUCGACCACAGAUGCCAGUUGUGAAGAAAGCAACAACAGUGCACCGUGUGCGUGAAUAGAUGCAUGAAUUUUCACGUCGGUACCACCACGUGAAAGGGUGACGCGUAAUGCUGUACGUGAAUCUCAAUCCGACAGUAAGGUGAAAAAAGAAGGUCAAAAGCAGAAGUCGAAGCAACAGAAGCAGCAAGUUGAGGAAGGUGGUGAACCCAAUAAGGUGGAGAAAGCUGCUCAGGAGACAGUUGAAACGCCUUCUAUGCCGGAGACGCAGGAAGAGAAGAAGCCAGAAUCGACCACAGAUGCCAGUUGUGAAGAAAGCAACAACAGUGCACCGUGUGCGUGAAUAGAUGCAUGAAUUUUCACGUCGGUACCACCACGUGAAAGAUCUUCCAGGAGACAGUUGAAACGCCUUCUAUGCCGGAGACGCAUAAAGAGAAGAAGCCAGAAUCGACCACAGAUGCCAGUUGUGAAGAAAGCAACAACGGUGAAGGUGCAAACAGGUGUCUUUCACUGUAUUAUCACGAGAAUGGCAACGACAAUUGAAGAGAACCUCCAGGAAGACAAUUAUCUAUACCAUCGUGUGAGGGAUGGCCACAUUCGAUGUGACCUUGUGGAACAGAACUUCGAAAUGACAAAGUUGUAGGACAUCUAGUGGAAGGAGCAACGUGAUGGUAUUAAAGAUGCCAUUGCAGGGCUGCGGGAACUCAAGGAGGAUGACCAGAAGGAAUUAACGGAUCUCCUUGAUUGUCAUUUCUGAUCCGGAGAAGCAGCCAAUUAAGUCAGUGUCCCGGAAGACAAACAAGAGACGCUUCCAGAGCAGAUAAACUUUGAGGAUUUCACGGUGACGCGUAAUGCUGUACGAAAAUCUCAAUCCGUCAGUAAGGUGAAAAAGGAAGGUCAAGAGCAGAAGCCGGAGCAACAGAAGCAGCAAGUUGAGGAAGGUGGUGAACCCAAUAAGGUGGAGAAAGCUGCUCAGGAGACAGUUGAAACGCCUUCGAUGCCUGAGACGCCUGAGACAAACGAGAGACGCUUCCAGAGCAGAUGAGGAUUUGAGGAUUUCACGGUGAUGCGUAAUGCCGUACGUGAAUCUCAAUCCGACAGUAAGGUGAAAAGGGAAGGUCAAGAGCAGAAGCCGGAGCAACAGAAGCAGCAAGUUGAGGAAGGUGGUGAACCCAAUAAGGUGGAGAAAGCUGCUCAGGAGACAGUUGAAACGCCUUCGAUGCCUGAGACGCCUGAGACAAACGAGAGACGCUUCCAGAGCAGAUGAGGAUUUGAGGAUUUCACGGUGAUGCGUAAUGCCGUACGUGAAUCUCAAUCCGACAGUAAGGUGAAAAGGGAAGGUCAAGGGCAGAAGCCGGAGCAACAGAAGCAGCAAGUUGAGGAAGGUGGUGAACCCAAUAAGGUGGAGAAAGCUGCUCAGGAGACAGUUGAAACGCCUUCGAUGCCUGAGACGCCUGAGACAAACGAGAGACGCUUCCAGAGCAGAUGAGGAUUUGAGGAUUUCACGGUGAUGCGUAAUGCCGUACGUGAAUCUCAAUCCGACAGUAAGGUGAAAAAGGAAGGUCAAGGGCAGAAGCCGGAGCAACAGAAGCAGCAAGUUGAGGAAGGUGGUGAACCCAAUAAGGUGGAGAAAGCUGCUCAGGAGACAGUUGAAACGCCUUCUAUGCCGGAGACGCAGGAAAAGAAGAAGCCAGAAUCGACCACAGAUGCCAGUUGUGAAGAAAGCAACAACGGUGCACCGUGUGCGUGAAUAGAUGCAUGAAUUUUCACGUGGGUACCACCACGUGAAAGGGUGACGCGUAAUGCUGUACGUGAAUCUCAAUCCGACAGUAAGGUGAAAAAAGAAGGUCAAAAGCAGAAGUCGAAGCAACAGAAGCAGCAAGUUGAGGAAGGUGGUGAACCCAAUAAGGUGGAGAAAGCUGCUCAGGAGACAGUUGAAACGCCUUCUAUGCCGGAGACGCAGGAAGAGAAGAAGCCAGAAUCGACCACAGAUGCCAGUUGUGAAGAAAGCAACAACGGUGCACCGUGUGCGUGAAUAGAUGCAUGAAUUUUCACGUCGGUACCACCACGUGAAAGGGUGACGCGUAAUGCUGUACGUGAAUCUCAAUCCGACAGUAAGGUGAAAAAAGAAGGUCAAAAGCAGAAGUCGAAGCAACAGAAGCAGCAAGUUGAGGAAGGUGGUGAACCCAAUAAGGUGGAGAAAGCUGCUCAGGAGACAGUUGAAACGCCUUCUAUGCCGGAGACGCAGGAAGAGAAGAAGCCAGAAUCGACCACAGAUGCCAGUUGUGAAGAAAGCAACAACGGUGCACCGUGUGCGUGAAUAGAUGCAUGAAUUUUCACGUCGGUACCACCACGUGAAAGGUGAGAAAAUUUUGAUUUUAAUGCUUUUUUUUAUUUUUUUCAAAUCCUCCCACAAACAUCCCCUGAAAAUUCAUUUUCUUUUUCAUUCACUCUUUUUACGCCUAUGAAAAAAAUCUUUUGACACCUCGCUCACCUAAAGUAUUGAAUAAAAUUAAAAAAAAAAUUUCACGAGUGGAAAGGGGGGAAAAUGUAGAUGUCCAAAGUGCCUCUAUUUAUUUAAAUAUCCCCAAAAUUACGAAAUUCCCCAAAAUUUUGCGCCACUCGCGACACUUACGUCACCACACACCCUUGGUGUGUUUGUGUGGAAAUUCAAUGCUUUCUUUUCACGCACCGUGUGCGUGAAUAGAUGCAUGAAUUUUCACGUGGGUACCACCACGUGAAAAUUGAAAAGAAUAUUGAAAAGAAGAAGUUAUAUAUUAGGGAAGAACAGCCUAAUUUGGACUGCUCACAAAAUAUGGUGUAAAAUAUAAAUAUUUUUUUUUUAUUUAGUACCAUGAAUGUUAAUUUAAGUCCUUAAUUAUUUUCGUUAUUGUCUAUAUAUAAAGUCUUAUCCACAUUAAGCACUGGCCGUAUAAAAAUAAAAUAAUAUGAGGUCUGAAUUGGGCCAUCCUCCCCUAUUACAAAACUUCUUUUUAUUAUUUUCAAAUUAUCAGGGCCGAAUUCACCGAAAAAUAAGAUUGUAAUGAAAAAUUUGAUUUCCUUCCUAUUUUAGGGUGAUGCGUAAUGCCGUACGUGAAUCUCAAUCCGACAGUAAGGUGAAAAAAGAAGGUCAAAAGCAGAAGUCGAAGCAACAGAAGCAGCAAGUUGAGGAAGGUGGUGAACCCAAUAAGGUGGAGAAAGCUGCUCAGGGGACAGUUGAAACGCCUUCUAUGCCGGAGACGCAGGAAGAGAAGAAGCCAGAAUCGACCACAGAUGCCAGUUGUGAAGAAAGCAACAACGGUGCACCGUGUGCGUGAAUAGAUGCAUGAAUUUUCACGUCGGUACCACCACGUGAAAGGGUGACGCGUAAUGCUGUACGUGAAUCUCAAUCCGACAGUAAGGUGAAAAAAGAAGGUCAAAAGCAGAAGUCGAAGCAACAGAAGCAGCAAGUUGAGGAAGGUGGUGAACCCAAUAAGGUGGAGAAAGCUGCUCAGGAGACAGUUGAAACGCCUUCUAUGCCGGAGACGCAGGAAGAGAAGAAGCCAGAAUCGACCACAGAUGCCAGUUGUGAAGAAAGCAACAACGGUGCACCGUGUGCGUGAAUAGAUGCAUGAAUUUUCACGUCGGUACCACCACGUGAAAGGGUGACGCGUAAUGCUGUACGUGAAUCUCAAUCCGACAGUAAGGUGAAAAGGGAAGGUCAAGAGCAGAAGCCGGAGCAACAGAAGCAGCAAGUUGAGGAAGGUGGUGAACCCAAUAAGGUGGAGAAAGCUGCUCAGGAGACAGUUGAAACGCCUUCGAUGCCUGAGACGCCUGAGACAAACGAGAGACGCUUCCAGAGCAGAUGAGGAUUUGAGGAUUUCACGGUGAUGCGUAAUGCCGUACGUGAAUCUCAAUCCGACAGUAAAGUGAAAAGGGAAGGUCAAGGGCAGAAGCCGGAGCAACAGAAGCAGCAAGUUGAGGAAGGUGGUGAACCCAAUAAGGUGGAGAAAGCUGCUCAGGAGACAGUUGAAACGCCUUCGAUGCCUGAGACGCCUGAGACAAACGAGAGACGCUUCCAGAGCAGAUGAGGAUUUGAGGAUUUCACGGUGAUGCGUAAUGCCGUACGUGAAUCUCAAUCCGACAGUAAGGUGAAAAGGGAAGGUCAAGGGCAGAAGCCGGAGCAACAGAAGCAGCAAGUUGAGGAAGGUGGUGAACCCAAUAAGGUGGAGAAAGCUGCUCAGGAGACAGUUGAAACGCCUUCUAUGCCGGAGACGCAGGAAGAGAAGAAGCCAGAAUCGACCACAGAUGCCAGUUGUGAAGAAAGCAACAACGGUGCACCGUGUGCGUGAAUAGAUGCAUGAAUUUUCACGUCGGUACCACCACGUGAAAGGGUGACGCGUAAUGCUGUACGUGAAUCUCAAUCCGACAGUAAGGUGAAAAAGGAAGGUCAAGGGCAGAAGCCGGAGCAACAGAAGCAGCAAGUUGAGGAAGGUGGUGAACCCAAUAAGGUGGAGAAAGCUGCUCAGGAGACAGUUGAAACGCCUGAGGCAAACGAGAGACGCUUCCAGAGCAGAUGAGGAUUUGAGGAUUUCACGGUGAUGCGUAAUGCCGUACGUGAAUCUCAAUCCGACAGUAAGGUGAAAAGGGAAGGUCAAGGGCAGAAGCCGGAGCAACAGAAGCAGCAAGUUGAGGAAGGUGGUGAACCCAAUAAGGUGGAGAAAGCUGCUCAGGAGACAGUUGAAACGCCUUCUAUGCCGGAGACGCGCCAGAAUCGACCACAGAUGCCAGUUGUGAAGAAAGCAACAACGGUGCACCGUGUGCGUGAAUAGAUGCAUGAAUUUUCACGUGGGUACCACCACGUGAAAGGGUGACGCGUAAUGCUGUACGUGAAUCUCAAUCCGACAGUAAGGUGAAAAGGGAAGGUCAAGAGCAGAAGCCGGAGCAACAGAAGCAGCAAGUUGAGGAAGGUGGUGAACCCAAUAAGGUGGAGAAAGCUGCUCAGGAGACAGUUGAAACGCCUUCUAUGCCGGAGACGCCUGAGACAAACGAGAGACGCUUCCAGAGCAGAUGAGGAUUUGAGGAUUUCACGGUGAUGCGUAAUGCCGUACGUGAAUCUCAAUCCGACAGUAAAGUGAAAAGGGAAGGUCAAGGGCAGAAGCCGGAGCAACAGAAGCAGCAAGUUGAGGAAGGUGGUGAACCCAAUAAGGUGGAGAAAGCUGCUCAGGAGACAGUUGAAACGCCUUCGAUGCCUGAGACGCCUGAGACAAACGAGAGACGCUUCCAGAGCAGAUGAGGAUUUGAGGAUUUCACGGUGAUGCGUAAUGCCGUACGUGAAUCUCAAUCCGACAGUAAGGUGAAAAGGGAAGGUCAAGGGCAGAAGCCGGAGCAACAGAAGCAGCAAGUUGAGGAAGGUGGUGAACCCAAUAAGGUGGAGAAAGCUGCUCAGGAGACAGUUGAAACGCCUUCUAUGCCGGAGACGCAGGAAGAGAAGAAGCCAGAAUCGACCACAGAUGCCAGUUGUGAAGAAAGCAACAACGGUGCACCGUGUGCGUGAAUAGAUGCAUGAAUUUUCACGUCGGUACCACCACGUGAAAGGUGAGAAAAUUUUGAUUUUAAUGCUUUUUUUUUUUUGUUCAAAUCCUCCCACAAACACCCCCUGAAAAUUCAUUUUCUUUUUCAUUCACUCUUUUUUCGCCUAUGAAAAAAUUCUUUUGACACCUCGCUCACCUAAAGUAUUGAAUAAAAUUAAAAAAAAAAAAAAAUUCACGAGUGGAAAGGGGGAAAAUGUAGAUGUCCAAAGUGCCUCUAUUUAUUUAAAUAUCCCCAAAAUUACGAAAUUCCCCAAAAUUUUGCGCCACUCGCGACACUUACGUCACCACACACCCUUGGUGUGUUUGUGUGGAAAUUCAAUGCUUUCUUUUCACGCACCGUGUGCGUGAAUAGAUGCAUGAAUUUUCACGUGGGUACCACCACGUGAAAAUUGAAAAGAAUAUUGAAAAGAAGAAGUUAUAUAUUAGGGAAGAACAGCCUAAUUUGGACUGCUCACAAAAUAUGGUGUAAAAUAUAAAUAUUUUUUUUUUAUUUAGUACCAUGAAUGUUAAUUUAAGUCCUUAAUUAUUUUCGUUAUUGUCUAUAUAUAAAGUCUUAUCCACAUUAAGCACUGGCCGUAUAAAAAUAAAAUAAUAUGAGGUCUGAAUUGGGCCAUCCUCCCC